UCUAUAAAUUGACCUCAUUGCGGGGAAUCCGGUGCCUCGCCUCGCUGAACUCGGCAAAGCGGGAAAACCGGAACUGUGCCGCAACGGUAUUUCGCAAGCUCGAUAUAAAUUUAAGACACGCGCGUCGAGAAACAAUGUUCCACAACGUGCCAUGUUGAGAGUUUACUCCGAGUGAAACGAGGAGUCCGAAUACCGCGAUGAGUCCUAAGAAUCC
rnacentral:ncRNA from 2 species